CGAUGGAUAUCGCAUGAUUCUCCCAUCCGCUGGCAAGUCACGACAACGGACGCUGCUCCACUCCUCGCAAUUGAUUCCACGUGGCGAGCUACGGCAAUAGCCACGAUUCCGCUCCACUACCCUUCGCAAUAAAUUCUGCCUGACUAUGGGCGGCCCACUACCAGACGGUUACGAACAUCGCUAUCAGUCUGUGGCACCCUCCGCCUAUAAAAAGGGGAACCCCAGAUACAUUAUUAUCUAAGC
rnacentral:lncRNA from 1 species